rnacentral:misc_RNA from 1 species
UGAUUUACGUGUUAGCCAAAAGAGUUUGUCAGUAAAAGUUUGAGAAGUCCUGCAGCGAUUAAUUUUAGUAACAAAACCAGUUAACACUCCGCUAAAUUAAAAUUGUAUAUCCAAUGUUAACGUUACUAUCGAUGAGGUUUUAAAUAAACGAUUUAAGUUUCAUCUAUUCUCAUCAUUCUAUCGAUAUUCAUGACUUUGGACGAUGAGAUUUCACAAAUUAAAACUCGCUGUCAAUUCGUAUAUUUCAGAAACAUUAAAUUAUUAAUACAAUUUGCAAUUGAUAGAGCACAGAUUCGCAAGGUGUGGGAUGCGUAAAAUAUUCAAAUAUCAGGGUGAUUUACGUGUUAGCCAAAAGAGUUUGUCAGUAAAAGUUUGAGAAGUCCUGCAGCGAUUAAUUUUAGUAACAAAACCAGUUAACACUCCGCUAAAUUAAAAUUGUAUA